rnacentral:misc_RNA from 1 species
AACGCACCUUGCGCCCUUUGGACAUUCCGAAGGGCAUGCCUGUUUGAGUAUCAUGAACACCUCAACUCUUUAUGGUCUUCCAUGAUGAGCUUGGACUUUGGGGGGUUUUGCUGGCCUACAGUCAGCUCCUCUAAAAUGAAUCAGCUUGCCAGUGUUUGGUGGGUAUCAUGGGUGUGAUAACUAUCUACGCUCGUGGUUUUCCACCAGAUAACCUUCAGUGGUGGAGGUUCACUGGAGCUCAUAGAUGUCUCUCCUCAGUGAGGACAGCCCUUUGAAUGUUUGAUCUCAAAUCAGGUAGGACUACCCGCUGAACUUAA